AUGUCAUCCUCCGCCCAGAAGCAGUCAGUGGCAAGGCCUACAACUGCUGAAGACGCACCACUGGUUCAGAUGCCGGACGCUGAAGCAGCGGGAGGAGACCCAGCUACAGCACAUGCUCAGCAGACCAACCUGGUGGAAUGGAAUGCUAAGCAGUCUGAUGCUUCGAAAUCGCCUACUAAGCAGUCUGUAGGUCCAGAACUGACUGCUCAUCAGUCCACCAGUCCGCAGUCGCGUGAUCAGCAUACCAAUGCGUCAGCAUUUCCUGCUCAGCAAACCAACGUGUUGGCAUGGCCUCCUCAGCACACCGUCAAGUUGGCACCACCUGCGCAGAAACCGAACAUAGCUUCAAUGCACGGUCAGCAGUCCGAUGCCUCUGCUCCUAGAACCCAGCAGUCCGUCAUAGCAGCAUCGCCAGCUUAG
rnacentral:rRNA from 1 species